rnacentral:rRNA from 1 species
GUGCCAGCCGCCGCGGUAAUACGGAGGAUGCGAGCGUUAUCCGGAUUCAUUGGGUUUAAAGGGUGCGCAGCGGCGCGUCAAGUCAGCGGUCAAACUGCGGGGCUCAACCCCGUACCGCCGUUGAAACUGGCGUGCUGGAGUGUGUGGGACGGCUGCGGAAUGCGCGGUGUAGCGGUGAAAUGCAUAGAUAUCACGCAGAACUCCGAUUGCGAAGGCAGCGGCCGACCACAUGACUGACGCUCAUGCACGAAAGCGUGGGUAUCGAACAGGAUUAGAUACCCUGGUAGUCCACGCAGUAAACGAUGAUGACUAGCUGUCCGGUGCGAUUGUGCGCUGGGUGGCACAGCGAAAGCGUUAAGUCAUCCACCUGGGGAGUACGCCGGCAACGGUGAAACUCAAAGGAAUUGACGGGGGCCCGCACAAGCGGAGGAACAUGUGGUUUAAUUCGAUGAUACGCGAGGAACCUUACCCGGGCUCAAACGGCGGCGGACCUCACCCAAAAGGGUGACUCCAGCAAUGGCCGCUGCCGAGGUGCUGCAUGGUUGUCGUCAGCUCGUGCCGUGAGGUGUCGGCUUAAGUGCCAUAACGAGCGCAACCCCCAUCUUCAGUUGCCACCGCGUAGUGGCGGGCACUCUGGAGAGACUGCCGGCGCAAGCUGUGAGGAAGGCGGGGAUGACGUCAAAUCAGCACGGCCCUUACGUCCGGGGCGACACACGUGUUACAAUGGCGGGGCACAGCAGGAAGCCAGGCGCGACGCCGAGCUGAUCCCGAAAACCCGUCUCAGUUCGGAUCGGAGUCUGCAACCCGACUCCGUGAAGCUGGAUUCGCUAGUAAUCGCGCAUCAGCCAUGGCGCGGUGAAUACGUUCCCGGGCCUUGCACACACCGCCCGU